GCCUCUUCAUUAGUGCGGCAAGGUCGACAUGUCCUUGGGCACUUGUCGGGAUUUCUGUGUUGUAAGCCUAAAUGACGGUAUCGUAUUGUUCCAUCGGUGUCCAUCUUUCAUCGUGCGCCGCUCGUGCGGCUCGGGAUGAACCUUGUAGCGGUCCCUUCCAUCCAUCUUGUCGGCGCUUGUGCGUCUUCGGCAUGGCAUGUUGGGCACGGCUUGGUUUCAUGGAUACGGAGCCUUUUGUGGGUAUGGGGUCUUUACGACCAUGUGUUUGCCCUUAUCGAGCGUUCUUGCUUCCAAGGAGAUACGGUCGGUCAUGCGUCGGCUUGUUCGUGCGUGGCCGACGACGUC
rnacentral:misc_RNA from 1 species